rnacentral:rRNA from 1 species
GAGCAUGUGGUUUAAUUCGAAGCUACGCGAAGAACCUUACCAGGUCUUGACAUCUUGCGCCAACCCUAGAGAUAGGGCGUUUCCUUCGGGAACGCAAUGACAGGUGGUGCAUGGUCGUCGUCAGCUCGUGUCGUGAGAUGUUGGGUUAAGUCCCGCAACGAGCGCAACCCUUGUUACUAGUUGCCAGCAUUAAGUUGGGCACUCUAGUGAGACUGCCGGUGACAAACCGGAGGAAGGUGGGGACGACGUCAGAUCAUCAUGCCCCUUAUGACCUGGGCUACACACGUGCUACAAUGGACGGUACAACGAGUCGCGAACUCGCGAGGGCAAGCAAAUCUCUUAAAACCGUUCUCAGUUCGGACUGCAGGCUGCAACUCGCCUGCACGAAGUCGGAAUCGCUAGUAAUCGCGGAUCAGCAUGCCGCGGUGAAUACGUUCCCGGGCCUUGUACACACCGCCCGUCACACCAUGAGAGUUUGUA